rnacentral:rRNA from 1 species
UACGUAGGGUGCGAGCGUUAAUCGGAAUUACUGGGCGUAAAGCGUGCGCAGGCGGUUCGUUGUGUCGGCGGUGAAAGCCCCGGGCUUAACCUGGGAAUGGCCGUUGAAACUGGCGAACUGGAGUGUGGCAGAGGGGGGUGGAAUUCCGGCGUGUAGCAGUGAAAUGCGUAGAGAUGCGGAGGAACACCGAUGGCGAAGGCAGCCCCCUGGGCUAACACUGACGCUCAGGCACGAAAGCGUGGGGAGCAAACAGG